CUAACUACACACAUUGAACACAGCUAUAAGGUAAUUUUUGCCAGGUGUCAAUCAUACAGGGCUGCAGACGAAAUCCUAGCUGGACAAAAUGACAAAAAGUUUACUUCUUCUGGCCACCAUUUUGAAUUAUUUUUUCCCUCCUUCAAGUUCCUUACAAAUGGGCCAAAAAACAUCAGUCCAUUGCUGCUUGGCCCAACAUAACCCAGUUGGUUUAUUGCAUUUACUUUAGGCCAAAAAAAAAGAACUUCAUGCUUCAGAAGCAGCUUGACCCGUCCCUUUCAUCUGUCUCUCUCAAGCCAAAUAUUGCAGAGCUGAUGCUGCUAAUACUGUUGUUUUCUGAAUCAAUUUCAAAAUUCAAAAUUCAAAAUUCAAUUUCUCCCACUCUUUUACAAUAUCAUGAGUCACUUUAUUUCUUAGUUUUCAAUUCCUCUCUCUUCAGCUUUCUCUCUUCUUUCAGUUUCCUUGAAGCUCCUAACGCCUCCUUCACAUAAAGGGAAAAGAGCAUGAUCGAUUGAAUCACAAAUUAGAGUCGUACCCUCCGACCUGUUUGAAGAAACGGUUUCAAGAACCAUCAAACGGCAUCGUGUGGUGUUUUCUUCAGCUUCUUAAAGCAGAAAGGUUCACAAAUUAGGUUUGAUUGGAGCUCCCCAAACAGCAAGGCUUUAUAUAAGCCACUACUUUGCAGUUGAAUAAAAUCAGAACAUUGCCUUCUUUUUCAUUCAUCAAUUUCAUCAAAUCGUUGGUGCUGUUAAGAGAUGGCAGAAGCAAAAAAAGUUUAUUCUGAAGAGGUUCAACUUCUUGGUAGAUGACCAAGUUCUUUAUGUGGUGGUGUAUGUGAUAUCUCAAUACUAGAAGAGGAGGCAAAGAAGAAAGUUCAAUUGAUAUAUCUUAUCUGGUUCUAUCUACUCAGUAGCCACAUGAGGAAAAAAGGAGAAUAUAUACGGAUUAAGAAAGUUUUAUAGGAAAAAAGGAGAAUAUAUGCAGAUUAAGAAAGUUCAUUGUGGGAGGAUUUAAAUCAAAUUCUACACACUCUACAUUUGUCAAGUUCUAUACAUAAGAGCAAGAAAAGUUUAUCAUGAAGAGGUUGAACUUCUUGGGAGAUGACCAAAUUUUUAUGUGGCGGCUUCUGUGAUAUCUCAAUAGGAUAUAUCUUUUCUUUAAAUUCAUAUGUCAUAUUGUAUAAUUAAGGGAAAAUUACAAUGACCUCCCUUAAAUUCUAAUGUAAUGACAAAAACACCCCCUAAGUUUUUAAUAGACACAAACCUCGCCUAAAGUCUAUUGAAAUAGACAAACACCUCCCCUUUAAACUUACACCGUUUAUUAAUCUGUUAAUUUUAUUAUGAUGAUAAUCUCCCUCCACUGAAACCUUAAAUAUCGUACCAUUGUUGUAACCUUCUCAUAUCAUUUUUCCUAUUUUAACUCUACUAUUAUUAGUUUUUAAUUGAAGA